rnacentral:piRNA from 1 species
UACUUCGAACAACAAAAAAAU